rnacentral:rRNA from 1 species
AUUGAACGCUGGCGGCAGGCCUAACACAUGCAAGUCGAACGAGUGGCGGACGGGUGAGUAAUGUCUGGGAAACUGCCUGAUGGAGGGGGAUAACUACUGGGAACGGUAGCUAAUACCGCAUACCAUCGGAUGUGCCCAGAUGGGAGUAGCGAGGAGGUGGGGUAAAGGAUCACCUAGGCGACGAUCCCUAGCUGGUCUGAGAGGAUGACCAGCCACCAUGUAACUGAGACACGGUCCAGACUCCUACGGGAGGCAGCAGUGGGGAAUAUUGCACAAGGGGCGCAAGCCUGAUGCAGCCAUGCCGCGUGUAUGAAGAAGGCCUUCGGGUUGUAAAGUACUUGCAGCGGGGAGGCGUUACCCGCAGAAGAAGCACCGGCUAACUACGUGCCAGCCGCCGCGGUAAUAC